AAACACCAUCUCAGAGGUGCGACUGAUGUGAGGAGAGAGGAAUAGAGCACUCAUGUACUGUAUUGGCUCUGCUUCAGUGUAUAAGUGUGUGUGUGUGUGUGUGUGUGUGUGUGUGUGUGUGUCUGUGUGUGUGUGUACAGCAUGAGUCACCCUACCCGCCUGUGAUUGGAUGGUAGUUUACGGGUGAGGGAGGGGAGGGAGAGAGAGAGCCUCAGGGGCCGUCUGUCAAUCUCUCCCCCACUCCAUUCACAUAUUCAUCUGCAUGCAGCGUCACAGAGAGACAGGGGAAGUGAGCUAGAGCCUCUCAUUCAUAAAAAAAAAGGAGAGAGAGCGAGCGAGAGAAAGUUCAUUCAUAAAAAAAAUCUGCACAGUUCUGCUGCGCGUCAGAAAGUUGAUGUGGAGGUGAAGCAGCAGUGGAAGCCUGCAGACUGACGGAGAGUGUGUGUGUGCGUGUCGGGAGGAUGGGACUGCACUCAGCGUGAGUACAGCGGAGCAGACUGGACUUCAGACUGCACAGGACAACGCAACGGUGAGUCGAAUCUACCGUAACGUGCUCUUGGAAUCUAAUCUAAUAAUCUGAGGACACAGCACACAAGGUGCACAGAAGAUCCCCCAAAUUUCAGCUGAAAAAAUUCAAAACUUUAUCCUUUUUUUCUGCUCCAAUCUCUAAUCUGAUCUGCCUUAUCUGUGUGUAAUAACCGAUUUUCAUUUUCGUGGCAGGUUUUUUUCCUUUUUACUUUGUCCCAGUGCUCUCCUCUGUCCAGUUCCCAGAUUAUGAGAGAGCAAACCUUACCCAGGUUCAAAUCACAGACAGGACUCUUACCAGGCAUGCUGAAGCGCAGCAAAUACAGCCGUCUGCGCAACGAUUCCCUGACGUCCCUGGAGGAUCGGCCCCUGAAGAGGGACCUUUGCUUGGACUCUGAUUUCGCCCAGCUGGAUCCAGGGGCGCCUACUCACCAUGGGCCAUCCACCCUGAGGGACUUCAUCCCCCGCAUGGCCAACAUCCGAUUGCAAAGUCCAGUUUCCCUGCGGGCCCUGAGGGGACAGACAGCUGGACCCACUGACAGACCCUUGUCCACGAACGAGUGGGGCUCAGGGCCCGAUCAGAGAUUUUGUAGCCAACCUUCCCUCAAUGUCCCCCUAUCGACCAGACCCUCGGCUCUGAGCUGCACAAAAAGACCCAUCACCCUGCACCGGAUGGCUAGCCUCCCCAGCUGUCCUACCUGCUCGCAACACAGAGACGGUUUGUGCUGUUUGAAGACUUCCUCUGCAGCGAACAGAACGGUCCACCAUCACAUCAAGGUACCUGACAACACGCCAGUGACGGUGCAUGAUUACACACAGAGAAAUUGGACUUGUGUUGCAAACUGCAGCCGAGAGUGUGUUUGA
rnacentral:lncRNA from 1 species